rnacentral:rRNA from 1 species
AUUGAACGCUGGCGGCAGGCCUAACACAUGCAAGUCGAACGAGUGGCGGACGGGUGAGUAAUGUCUGGGACACUGCCUGAUGGAUGGGGAUAACUACUGGAAACGGUAGCUAAUACCGCAUACCAUCGGAUGUGCCCCGAUGGGAUUAGCUAGUAGGUGGGGUAACGGCUCACCUAGUCGACGAUCCCUAGCUGGUCUGAGAGGAUGACCAGCCACAAUGGAACUGAGACACGGGCCAGACGCCUACGGGAGGCAGCAGUGGGGAAGAUUGCACAAUGGGCGCAGGCCUGAUGCAGCCAUGCCGCGUGUAUGAAGAAGGCCUUCGGGUUGUAAAGUACUUUCAGCGGGGAGGCGUUACCCGCAGAAGAAGCACCGGCUAACUCCGUGCCAGCAGCCGCGGUAAUUC